GCCGAAGUAGCUCAGUUGGUCAGAGCUACGGUUUUGUAAACCGUGGGUCGAGAGUUCGAAUCUCUCCUUCGGCU
rnacentral:tRNA from 1 species